GUGACAGUUUUUGAUUGUCACAAAGACGGCGAAGACGACGACAACUAAGGUAAGGGAAGCAAUUAUAGAGAAAUACUAAGAGCUCUCUUACUUUGUGUCAUAAAUUACGUUUUUAUAUCGUUUAAAAUUAGUUUACAGGUAUUAUUUGGUAAUUAUGUUAGCGAGUGCAAGUUUGUAUUUCUAUUCUCAGCGAAUAACCUAAGCAGAGACCUAAGAGUUCAUGCAGUCACAAGAUCGGACUUCUCAUUUCAUGUUUUUUUAAUUAUUUUUUUUUACAUUUUAGAUUAAUACUGAACAUAUCAAAACCAUUAAUAAAGUUAACCAUUAAUAAAUAUAUAUAUAUAUAUUAAUAUACACAUACAUACGUGUAUGUAUAUGUGUGUAUAGAAAGGGAGAUAAGGAUGGACAAAGGAAGAUGGGAGGAGGGGUCACUGAACAUGUUCAACCUUUUUGUUCCAGAAUGGUACUAAGAAGCUGCUGGAAUCCAGGCCAGAAUCUUCCUGUUGCAGGCUACUGCCCCUCUACUCCUCAGACUCACCAAAAGUUGUGUCCUGGGAUUAUAACGACUCAACUGCAAGCCCAACCUCUAUUAAAAACAACAAAAUGGCUACCGUUAUUAUGGAAGAUGAGAAUGGCCAUGGAUUUUCCUUUUUUAUCCACUGUUAUCUUGUGUUCUUUGUCUCUUUAAUCUCAACAUAAAGAACAUUUUCUCAUGAUAAUGGAAAUGGUGUUUUAGCUGACCUCAAAAGGAUAUUUUUGAAAUGCCACAGCCAAUGUUGUCAACAGCAAGAUGGGGUUUUAAUGAAAAUGCUGACAGCACGCUCC